CUCAUUGCCUGGUCUUUGGUUCUAAGUUGCCCCAAUGGAGAGCGACUACUUGGAACAAAAUGGCAGUCAGUGAUAAUAAAUAAAGAAUUCCAGAGAAAAUGUCCAGAUUUGAACAUUGCACAUCAAAAAUGAUGGAUGAAGUCCCAUCAAGGACAGGAGCUACAGGAGUGACAAUCAGACAUAUAAAAGACAUGCUUCUCCAGCCCAAUCCAACUGAAGUACACAGAGACGAAGCUAUCCACUGCCUUGGAGAGAAGGAAGAGGACCGUUCUCAAGGAGUUCACACAGGGCAGUGUAAACACAAAGGGCAGGAGACAGUAGCGAGAAUCUGAUGCGCGCAUGCGUAAAGUUUGUCGGGAGCGCUCGCAGCGCGCUCAGGUAUGGAUCCUUAUUCUCUGAUUUACCUGUGCAGGUGCAGGCCGGUAAACUUUUGUUUGCGAGUGUGUGAGCGAGUGUUGGAUCAGAGGAAAGGACACGCGUUUGAGGAUGACUUUGUAGGCUCAGUUAACUAUUUGUUCACGGCUUUGUAGAGUUUCUUACCU